GAUGAUAUGGCCGAGUGGUUAAGGCGUUUGCCUGCUAAGCAAAUGGGCAUGACCCGCGUAGGUUCAAAUCCUACUGUCAUCG